UACGUAGGGUGCAAGCGUUAUCCGGAAUUAUUGGGCGUAAAGAGCUCGUAGGCGGUUUGUCACGUCUGCUGUGAAAACUGGAGGCUCAACCUCCAGCCUGCAGUGGGUACGGGCAGACUAGAGUGCGGUAGGGGAGAUUGGAAUUCCUGGUGUAGCGGUGGAAUGCGCAGAUAUCAGGAGGAACACCGGUGGCGAAGGCGGCAUCCUGGACCAAUUCUGACGCUGAGGAGCGAAAGCCAGGGGAGCAAACGGG
rnacentral:rRNA from 1 species